rnacentral:snRNA from 1 species
AUCGCUUCUCGGCCUUUUGGCUAAGAUCAAGUGUAGUAUCUGUUCUUAUCAGUUUAAUAUCUGAUACGUCCUCUAUCCGAGGACAAUAUAUUAAAUGGAUUUUUGAAGCCGGGAGAUGGAGUAGGAGCUUGCUCCGUCCACUCCACGCAUCGACCCAGUAUUGCAGUACCUCUGGGAACGGUGCACUUCCC